rnacentral:rRNA from 1 species
UACGUAGGGUGCGAGCGUUGCCCGGAUUUAUUGGGCGUAAAGGGCGCGUAGGCGGCCACGCACGUCCGUUGUGAAAUCGCCCGGCUCAACUGGGCGGGGUCAGCGGAUACGGUGUGGCUCGAGCAAGCUAGGGGGCAAUGGAAUUCCCGGUGUAGUGGUGGAAUGCGUAGAUAUCGGGAGGAACACCAGUGGCGAAGGCGGUUGCCUGGAGCUUUGCUGACGCUGAGGCGCGAAAAGCGUGGGGAGCGAUCCGG